rnacentral:rRNA from 1 species
UAAGGAAUAUUGGUCAAUGGGCGAGAGCCUGAACCAGCCAUGCCGCGUGAAGGAAGACGGCCUUAUGGGUUGUAAACUUCUUUUAAGAGGGAAAAAACUGGGCUACGUGUAGCCCAUUGCUUGUACCUUUUGAAUAAGCAUCGGCUAACUCCGUG